AUUGAACGCUGGCGGCAUGCUUUACACAUGCAAGUCGAACGGCAGCGCGGGCUUCGGCCUGGCGGCGAGUGGCGAACGGGUGAGUAAUGCAUCGGAACGUGCCCAGUAGUGGGGGAUAGCCCGGCGAAAGCCGGAUUAAUACCGCAUACGACCUGAGGGUGAAAGCGGGGGACCGAAAGGCCUCGCGCUAUUGGAGCGGCCGAUGUCGGAUUAGCUAGUUGGUGGGGUAAAGGCUUACCAAGGCGACGAUCCGUAGCUGGUCUGAGAGGACGACCAGCCACACUGGGACUGAGACACGGCCCAGACUCCUACGGGAGGCAGCAGUGGGGAAUUUUGGACAAUGGGGGCAACCCUGAUCCAGCCAUGCCGCGUGCGGGAAGAAGGCCUUCGGGUUGUAAACCGCUUUUGUUCGGGAAGAAAUCCUCUGGGCUAAUAUCCCGGGGGGAUGACGGUACCGGAAGAAUAAGCACCGGCUAACUACGUG
rnacentral:rRNA from 1 species